AUCUGUACACCAUCCAGGUUUUGCAUACAUACCUCAGAGUUGGGAACACAAUGGUUUUGUAGACCUUCAGUUUUGUUUGACUGAUGUCUCUACGCUCCCACAUAUUUGCACGUAUUCUGCCAAAGGCCAUGCUUGCUUUGGCAAAUCUGGUGUUGGUUUCAUCAUCAACGUGAACUGCAUGUGACAGUGUAUUGCUGAGGUAGGAGAACCCUCUUCAGUAUGAUGUUCUCUGCCAUGCUUCCAGAUGCCUUUUGUGACUGACACCAGGGACUGGCAUCAGAUACCGGACUGAUGGCAAGCUCUUCAAUUUGAGGAGACUAUAGGAGAAGACAAAAAGGUCUUACAAUCAACAUCAAGAACACAGAAGUGAUGUACCAGCCUGCACCAGGAAAGCCUUAUUUUCCUGAACUUGGACUUGCUGCCCAACAUCAGUUUGAUCAUUAUAUAGCAGCUGCACAUCCGCUACAGUUUUUCGUCGGUGAAACUGAAAUGUUGCUGUAUAAAAUGGUACAUGUUCUACUUCUUAGAUGGAAAUGUUUGUAAGCAAACCGG